UGCAAGUCGUGCGAGAAGUUGCCUUCGGGCAGCGAGUAAAGCGGCGCACGGGUGAGUAACGCGUGGGCAAUCUGCCCAAGGGUCUGGAAUAACAUCGGGAAACUGGUGCUAAUGCCGGAUAACACCACGAUGACUUCGGUCGAUGUGGAAAAAGGUGGCCUCUUCUUGAAAGCUAUCGCCCCUGGAUGAGCCCGCGUUCCAUUAGCUUGUUGGUGAGGUAACGGCUCACCAAGGCUACGAUGGAUAGCUGGUCUGAGAGGAUGAUCAGCCACACUGGGACUGAGACACGGCCCAGACUCCUACGGGAGGCAGCAGUCGGGAAUUUUGGGCAAUGGGCGAAAGCCUGACCCAGCAACGCCGCGUGAAGGAUGAAGGCCUUCGGGUCGUAAACUUCUGUCGGAAGGGAAGAAAGGUCGACCUUCAAACAGGUGGUCGGCUUGACGGUACCUUUAGAGGAAGCACCGGCUAACUCCGUGCCAGCAGCCGCGGUAAUACGGAGGGUGCAAGCGUUGUUCGGAAUUACUGGGCGUAAAGCGCGUGUAGGCGGCUUCGUCAGUCGGAUGUGAAAUCCCAGGGCCCAACCCUGGAACUGCAUCCGAUACUGCGAGGCUUGAGUUCUGGAGGGGAUGGCGGAAUUCCGGGUGUAGAGGUGAAAUUCGUAUAUAUCGGGAGGAAUACCAGUCAGCGAAGGCGGCACUCUGGGCCACAACUGACGCUGAGGAGCGAAAGCGUGGGUAGCGAACAGGAUUAGAUACCCUGGUAGUCCACGCCGUAAACGGUGGGCAU
rnacentral:rRNA from 1 species